CAUAUCACGUUCAAACACAAGUUCCCAUACGUGUGCCGAAGUUAAGCAACGUCGAGCCUGGUCAGUACCUAGAUGGGAAACCGCUUGGGAAUAUCAGGUGCUGUAAG